AUAUACCUGCCAGAAAAUGUAAAUUCAAAGGUGUCUCUCACUUUCUCUUUCAGGGAAAUCUCGAGGAGUUUGACACUUUUCAUCCUCCAGCCAUUAAUCAUCCUGUGGGGGUAGACACUACACUGGUGGGAGUGAAAGGCACGCGGUUCCUGGCCCGCAGCGUCGCAGCUGAGGGGUGAGAGCCGCAGCAUGCUGGCUCCAGCCCUGAGGGCAGUCAUGGGCUUCGGCUCCAGGUUCCUAUCCUGAGACCAUAGCAGUAUGUGCCUUGGACAAAGGUAUGUAUAUUAAAAUAUAUUCAAAUGUUCUAUUUUAAUAAAGUAUAAAAUUUUAUAUUACUAUUGUAU
rnacentral:lncRNA from 1 species